rnacentral:rRNA from 1 species
AACGAACGCUGGCGGCAUGCCUUACACAUGCAAGUCGAACGGUAACGCGGGGCAACCUGGCGACGAGUGGCGAACGGGUGAGUAAAGCAUCGGAACGUGCCCAGUAGUGGGGGAUAGCCCGGCGAAAGCCGGAUUAAUACCGCAUACGACCUACGGGUGAAAGGGGGGGAUCGCAAGACCUCUCGCUAUUGGAGCGGCCGAUGUCAGAUUAGGUAGUUGGUGGGGUAAAGGCCUACCAAGCCGACGAUCUGUAGCUGGUCUGAGAGGACGACCAGCCACACUGGGACUGAGACACGGCCCAGACUCCUACGGGAGGCAGCAGUGGGGAAUUUUGGACAAUGGGCGCAAGCCUGAUCCAGCCAUGCCGCGUGCGGGAAGAAGGCCU